UACGGGGGGGGCAAGCGUUGUUCGGAAUUACUGGGCGUAAAGGGCUCGUAGGUGGCCAACUAAGUCAGACGUGAAAUCCCUCAGCUUAACUGGGGAACUGCGUCUGAUACUGGAUGGCUUGAGUUUGGGAGAGGGAUGCGGAAUUCCAGGUGUAGCGGUGAAAUGCGUAGAUAUCUGGAGGAACACCGGUGGCGAAGGCGGCGUCCUGGACCAACACUGACACUGAUGAGCGAAAGCCAGGGGAGCAAACGGG
rnacentral:rRNA from 1 species